UUGGCUAUAUAUGAAAUCUAA
rnacentral:piRNA from 1 species